rnacentral:rRNA from 1 species
UACAUUAGCAUGGGAUAAUGGAAUAGGACCCUGUCCUCCUAUUUUCAGUUGGUUUUGGCAGCGCGAGGACUAGGGUAAUGAUUAAUAGGGAUAGUUGGGGGCAUUAAUAUUUAAUUGUCAGAGGUGAAAUUCUUGGAUUUAUGAAAGAUUAACUUCUGCGAAAGCAUCUGCCAAGGAUGUUUUCAUUAAUCAAGAACGAAAGUUAGGGGAUCGAAGACGAUCAGAUACCGUCGUAGUCUUAACCAUAAACGAUGCCGACCAGCGAUUAGGAGACGUUGAAUACAAAACACCACCAUCGGUUGCGGUCGUCCUUGGCGUCUCGGUCCUUCACGGGGCCGGGGCGCGGGGGUGGCUUAGCCCGGUGGCACCGGUGAAUGACUCCCCUAGCAGCUUGUGAGAAAUCAUAAGUCUUUGGGUUCCGGGGGGAGUAUGGUCGCAAGGCUGAAACUUAAAGGAAUUGACGGAAGGGCACCACCAGGAGUGGAGCCUGCGGCUUAAUUUGACUCAACACGGGGAAACUUACCAGGUCCGGACAUAGUAAGGAU